rnacentral:rRNA from 1 species
UUCCUUUUUAUCAAAAGAUAAAAAGGGAAAGAUUUAUUGGUAAGAGAUUAGCCUGUAUUGUAUCAGUUAGUUGGUGGGGUAAUGGCCUACCAAGACGAUGACGCAUAACUGGUUUGAGAGGAUGAUCAGUCACACUGGAACUGAGACACGGUCCAGACUCCUACGGGAGGCAGCAGUGGGGAAUAUUGCACAAUGGACGAAAGUCUGAUGCAGCAACGCCGCGUGGAGGAUGACACAUUUCGGUGCGUAAACUCCUUUUAUAUAAGAAGAUAAUGACGGUAUUAUAUGAAUAAGCACCGGCUAACUCCGUGCCAGCAGCCGCGGUAAUACGGAGGGUGCAAGCGUUACUCGGAAUCACUGGGCGUAAAGAGCGUGUAGGCGGAUUGAUAAGUUUGAAGUGAAAUCCUAUAGCUUAACUAUAGAACUGCUUUGAAAACUGUUAAUCUAGAAUGUGGGAGAGGUAGAUGGAAUUUCUGGUGUAGGGGUAAAAUCCGUAGAGAUCAGAAGGAAUACCGAUUGCGAAGGCGAUCUACUGGAACAAUAUUGACGCUGAGACGCGAAAGCGUGGGGAGCAAACAGGAUUAGAUACCCUGGUAGUCCACGCCCUAAACGAUGUACACUAGUUGUUGUGAGGCUCGACCUUGCAGUAAUGCAGUUAACACAUUAAGUGUACCGCCUGGGGAGUACGGUCGCAAGAUUAAAACUCAAAGGAAUAGACGGGGACCCGCACAAGCGGUGGAGCAUGUGGUUUAAUUCGACGAUACACGAAGAACCUUACCUGGACUUGACAUAGUAAGAAUGAUUUAGAGAUAGAUUAGUGUCUGCUUGCAGAAACUUGCAUACAGGUGCUGCACGGCUGUCGUCAGCUCGUGUCGUGAGAUGUUGGGUUAAGUCCCGCAACGAGCGCAACCCUCGUCCUUAGUUGCUAACAGUUCGGCUGAGAACUCUAAGGAGACUGCCUACGCAAGUAGGAGGAAGGUGAGGAUGACGUCAAGUCAUCAUGGCCCUUACGUCCAGGGCUACACACGUGCUACAAUGGGGUAUACAAAGAGCAGCAAUACGGUGACGUGGAGCAAAUCUCAAAAAUGCCUCCCAGUUCGGAUUGUAGUCUGCAACUCGACUACAUGAAGUUGGAAUCGCUAGUAAU